rnacentral:antisense_RNA from 1 species
GUUGACUUUAUGCAUUUAUUCAACCAUUACUAUCAGGAGGAAGUUGUGCCCAGUCCUUGGGCCCAUAAAGUUCAGUUUGUCAAUGAGGUUGGCUCUUCAAGGACACACAACAGACAAGAUCUCAGGGAGACUGAUUGAACUGCCCAGGGGUUGGUAUCUGCCCCCACCCCUGCCCCGUUCGGGUUCUGUUCUAUGCUGUGGCCCUGCUCUUAAUCACUAAGAAAGGGAGACUGGAGCCAUCAAAGAGAGACUUCCCAAAGCCCCUGCUCACUCACGCACUCUGGAAGCCUGCCUGAGAUGCUUGCUGCUGUUCUCACAUGUCUCUGCCAGGUGACUACAGGCACUGACUGUUCAUGUGUCUGUGUCUCCCCCACGUGACUUCAGUUUCUGCUCUGUCAUCCAUGCGUCUGGGCACAGGUGCUGACUCCAAGAUCCUCCUGCGGUUUCAGUGUGUUCCUCCCAGGCACUCCCCAUCCACAGCCAUUCUUGCCUCAAGAUCCAUAACCGGUAGCCCUGGAGUCUCCACUUCUCGCAUCCUUAAAUUCAGGAUCCUCUUCAUUGAAAGACUCCCAAGGGUCGGGUGUGGUAGUAUAGGCCUAUAAUCCCAGCACUCAGGGCAGACACAGGUGGAUCUCUGUGGUCUAUGUAUGGAGCUCUAGGCUAGGCAGGACUACAUAGUGAAAGCCUCAGGACUCCUCCUGGUGGCUGCAGUGGCCUUCCUCAGCGUCCUGGUUUUGAUGUCUGUCUCCAUCAGAUCAGCCAACGUUAUGGUCCUGUAUUCACCAUCUAUCUGGGAUCUCGCCGAAUUGUGGUGCUGUGCGGACAGGAGACAGUCAAGGAAGCUCUGGUGGACCAAGCUGAGGAAUUCAGCGGGCGGGGCGAGCAGGCUACCUUCGACUGGCUUUUCAAAGGCUAUGGUGAGAGGGUCUUCCCAGGCAUAGCCUUCAGCAGCGGGGAGCGAGCCAAACAGCUAAGGCGCUUCUCCAUCACCACGCUGCGGGACUUCGGCGUGGGGAAGCGUGGCAUCGAGGAGCGCAUCCAAGAGGAGGCGGGCUUUCUCAUCGAUUCAUUUCGGAAGACGAACGGUAAGCAGAGCACCGCAAGUUCUCAGGACCUUAGCCGAACAGUCUCCAAUGUCAUUAGCUCAAUCGUCUUCGGGGACCGCUUUGACUA